UGUUUUGUGUGAAAAACUACAAGCAAACAUUUCCAUCAUGCAGCAAGACCAUGCCAUUGUAACUGCAAGAGAAGUGAAGGACUCUGCUGGUGGUUCUGCUUCCUUGACUGUAUCUUGCAGUGAAGAUUCUCAGAGAAGGGUUGAUGGUGCUGUUACAUUUGCCAGGUUUGCUGAGAAGCAUCGCCGGCUAUUGAAUACUUUUAUAAGACAGAAUCCUGGCUUGUUAGAGAAAUCACUUUCUAUGAUGUUGAAAGCACCAAGACUGAUAGAUUUUGACAACAAAAGGGCAUAUUUCCGAUCAAGAAUAAGGCAACAGCAUGAACAACAACUCUCUGGUCCUUUGCGGAUAAGCGUCCGGCGGGCG
rnacentral:misc_RNA from 1 species